AACGAACGCUGGCGGCAUGCCUAACACAUACAAGUCGAACGAUGCCUUCGGGCAUAGUGGCGCACGGGUGCGUAACGCGUGGGAAUCUGCCUUUCGGUUCGGAAUAACUCAGGGAAACUUGAGCUAAUACCGGAUAACGUCGCAAGACCAAAGAUUUAUCACCGAAAGAUGAGCCCGCGUAGGAUUAGCUAGUUGGUGAGGUAGAGGCUCACCAAGGCGACGAUCCUUAGCUGGUCUGAGAGGAUGAUCAGCCACACUGGGACUGAGACACGGCCCAGACUCCUACGGGAGGCAGCAGUGGGGAAUAUUGGACAAUGGGCGAAAGCCUGAUCCAGCAAUGCCGCGUGAGUGAUGAAGGCCUUAGGGUUGUAAAGCUCUUUUACCCGGGAAGAUAAUGACGGUACCGGGAGAAUAAGCCCCGGCUAACUCCGUG
rnacentral:rRNA from 1 species